AAUUAUUAUUUUAUUAUUAUUUAUUAUAUUGAAUUUUUAUUAAAAUAAAUAAAUUGAAAGAUUUUAUUAUUGAAAUAGAAAAAAUUUUUUUAAUUAUAGUGUAAUUGUAUUGUGAGAGGUUAUUAUUUUUUGUUUUGAAGAAGAAUUAAUUUUUUGUACCUUUUGUAUCAGGGUUUAUUAAAAAUUAUAAUUUAUUUUUAUGAUCUCGAAUUUAAAAGAGUUAAAAAUUUAUUGAUUUUAUUAUUGAAUAAAUAUUUUUAAUAAGUUUUUAGUAGUGAAAUGUUAUUCGUUUUUAAAUAUAUCUAGUUUUUUAAGAGUAAAAUUUAAUUUUAAAUAUUUCUAAUUAAUUAAAUUAUUUUAUUAGUUUAUUAUUAGAUUUAUUUUAUUUUUUUAGGGAUAAGCUUGGAAAAAUUAGUUUAUUAGAUUAUUAAAUAUUAUAUAAAAUUAUAGGAUUAGAAGUUUCUAUUAUUAAUAAAAUGUUAUAAUUUAUUUAUAUAAAAAUAUUAUUUUUUAGUUUAUAAAUUUUUUAUUAAAAUAUUUAUUUAAAUUUUAAUUUAUUAAGAAAUAAUGAUAAAAUUAGUAUAAAAUUAAUAAUGUUUAAUUGAUUAUAAAUUUGAGUUUAGUUAAAGGAAUUCGGCAAAUUAUAUUUUUCACCUGUUUAUUAAAAACAUGUCUUAUUGAUUUUAUUUUUAGGUUUAGCCUGCCCACUGAAUUAUUAUUGAAUGGCCGCGGUAUUUUGACCGUGCUAAGGUAGCAUAAUCAUUAGUUUCUUAAUUAGAAGCUGGAAUGAAAGGUUGGAUGAGGGAAUUACUGUCUCUAAUUAAAUUUUUUUGAAUUUUAUUUUUUAGUGAAAAAGCUAAAAUUUUUUUGAAAGACGAGAAGACCCUUUAGAGUUUUAUAAAAUUUAGAUUUUUAUUAUUUAUUGGAAUAUAAAAUUUUAAGUUUAAAUUUUAUUUGAUUGGGGUGAUUGAAAAAUUAAAUUAACUUUUUUUGUUGAAAACAUUAAUGCAUGAUUUUUUGAUCCAAUAUUUUUGAUUAAAAGAUAAAAUUACCUUAGGGAUAACAGCGUAAUUUUUUUAGAGAGCUCUUAUCGAAAAAAAAGAUUGCGACCUCGAUGUUGGAUUAAAAUAAAUAAUUGGUGUAGAAGCUAGUUAAAUUAGGUCUGUUCGACCUUUAAAAUUUUACAUGAUCUGAGUUUAAACCGGUGUGAGCCAGGUUGGUUUCUAUCUUUAAAUUGGUUUUAAUAUUUUAGUACGAAAGGAUUGAUUAUUAAAAAAAUUUUUUUAUAGUUUGAAUUAAAUUAAAAUUAGA
rnacentral:rRNA from 1 species